UCGUGGUGUCUUUAAUUCUGCUCUCGCCCCCAGUUAGGGUUUUGCUGUUAAAAAAAAAAAAAUUUAAAUGCCCUCCUGUUCAAAAUUUUUCUUCCCCCAGAAAAUUGAGAUUUUAAGCUCUCCAAUGAUGUAUCACGCACGUGUAACCCUGAUAAAAGUACAGCUCAUGGUUUUUAUUAAGAACUGUAUUUUAGAUGACCGUAUUGAGGUAAAAUGUCCACUAGAUGGCACUAAAUAAUCAGGCAUUCCACUAAAAGUGAGGGCAUGAGCGUUGCAUUUUGGGAAAUGGAGAUGCUAUGAACGCUAAUGGAGAUACUGCUAAUGCUAGCGCGACCUAGACUCAGACUAAAAAGAAACUGACAAGUUCCAGACUGCUUUAAUGGGCGAAUUACUUUUGAGUUAAUCUGAGUGAUACAAGACUCCGGAGAGCACCACUAAAACUUCCACCACGGAGGCUCCAGGCACUAUUUUUGGGCACAAAGACGGAGGAUUGGGGUGAAAUCCACGUUCUCAGGCAAAACAUAAGUUUUAACCCAAAACAUUGCACUCUGAACUGGAAUGAUGAGCGUGAACUACCCUGAAAUACACAGGUGUCUGAACUGUAUAAGUGCAUUGGGAGACAGCCGUUUUGAUGAAUCCACAAUCACCCGAGCGACCUUACCUGUGCGACUGAAGGGAGGACAGCGAUGCGGACCAUCUGGCGACCGGAGGCGACAGUCUCUUGCUCCCCUCUCUUCGGAGGGGAGGGGCUUGAGGUUGGUCUUCUAUUAAUUGAAUGACGACGGCGGGAGGAAGUUACCAAGCGAGCGUGGCGUGGGAGGGGGGCACCGCGCUCGUUAUCGCUUUACCAACUAAUGUUGAUAAAUGGCAACUGUCACGCACUAUGAUGGACGUCGAACCCAUUCCAACAAUCCAUUGACAUUUAACACAUAAAAAAAAAAAAAAAAAAAAAAGAAUUAUGGAAGCGUAUUCCUGCCACACCCCAAGAAAAAAAUCCAGUAUUACUUUUUGACAUAAUUUUGUGUAAAAAUUUGAAAAAUACGUAAAAAUGUUAACGUAUCAAAACGUGAAAUUAUGUGAACCUAUGUAAAAAUGUGUAAAUUAUGUAAAAACAUGAAAAUAUAGUAUAUAUAUAUAUUUUUAAAUGUGUUGUAUAAAAAGGUGAAAAAUCUAAAGAUGAAAAUUAUGUUAAUGAUGUAAAAACAUUAUGUAAAAAUGUGAAAAAAUGUGCUAUCGUGUAAAAACGUGAAAAAUGUAAAGAUGAAAAUUAUGGAAGUGAUAUAAUGUAAAAAUGUUAUGUUAAAAAAUAUGGAAAAAUGUACUACAGUGUAAAAAUGUGAAAAAUAUGUAAAAAUGUGUUAUGUAAAAACGAGAAAUCAUGUAAAAAUGUGCUAUUGUGUAAACAUGAAAAUUGUGAAAACGUGGAUAAAUAUGUAAAAACGUGUUAUGUAAAAACGUAAUAAUUUUCAUGUAAAAACUUAGAAAAUGUGAUGUAAUGUGAAAAUGUAAAUAUGUGUAAAUUAUGUAAAAACGUGAAAAAUCUAAAGAUGAAAAUUAUGUUGGUGACAUGGUUUUUAAAAACGUUAUGAAAACUGAAAAAAUGUGCUAUCGUGUAAAAAUGUGAAAAAUAUGUAAAAACGUGAAAAGUAUCAUCUAAAAGUGUGAAGACAUGUAAAAAUGUGCUAUCGUGUAAAAAUGUGAAAAAUGUAAAGAUGAAAAUUAUGUAAGUGAUAUAAUGUAAAAAUGUUAUGUUGAAAAAAUAAAAAAUGUGCUACAAUGUAAAAAUGUGAAAAAUAUGUAAAAAUGUGUUAUAGUGUAAAAACGAGAAAUCAUGUAAAAAUGUGCUAUUGUGUAAACAUGAAAAUUGUGAAAACGUGGAAAAAUAUGUAAAAACGUGUUAUCAUAUAAAAACGUAAUUAUGUAAAAAUGUGCUAUCGUGUAAAAACGUGAAAAAUGUAAAGAUGAAAAUUAUGUAAGUGAUAUAAUGUAAAAAUGUUAUGUUGAAAAAAUGUAAAAAUGUGCUAGUGUAAAAAUGUGAAAAAUAUGUAAAAACGUGUUAUAGUGUAAAAACGAGAAAUCAUGUAAAAAUGUGCUAUUGUGUAAACAUGAAAAUUGUGAAAACGUGGAAAAAUUUGUAAAAACGUGUUAUCAUAUUGUGGCAACACGUGGUAAUUGGAAGAUUAAAAAUUUGCCAGACAACGCCACCCUGGAUUUGUCCCAGGGAAAAGAUUUUAAAUUUAAGGUCAGCAAGGUUCGUGCUGCAAGGAGAGCAAGAGGCAGUUCUGCGUGGUACAAAUUGUUUAUUUUGUGAAUUAAAAUAAAUAAAUAAAAACUUCCAACAUAAAGGGAUAAACCCACGGGGCUGGGACUUACCAGUGGUAGGAGGGGCGAACCCCAAGAACACUACAAAACAAACCCAAAACCAAAACAAGAUGUCACUGCACACCAGGGGUCGCCAAAACUCGCACGCCACCAACCACCGGAAGCCCCAAGCCCUAAAACAACGGAAAACGAAACAAUGAGGAUCAUAAAUAAAUUGGCAACAAUCUCAUUUGGUGAAUUACAGAAAGGCAAAAUAAAAUAGCGACUAAAAUUGGACCCGUAUCCGGAAGUCCAAGGGACGUGGUACGUGCGAUACCAGUUCUUUAAACGCGGUAGAGCCGUGCGUGCACGCAGCCAGACAGCCCCGCAAGGUGACGUCCACUCAGCACGGCGAUGACAUCCGCUCCGCCCAACCCGAAAGAAUUGGGCAUGAGCUUUUAAUGUAGGCAAAGCAGCAGUGUCUCGUAUUAGCAGUCGCCACGCAACCUGGCCAGCCUGCAAUCACUCCAUGCUAAAAGAAAAUUAAAAAAACGAAUCGUGUUAACUAUUUUAGACCAGCGUUGAUUAAAAGACGCCAACUUACCGAUCCGAGUCAGUGAUCCUGCAUGACAAAGUUAGGAGGUGGAUUCAACUUUGUCUCACGCUAAAUAGCGCCAGAUGUCACGCAUUUACACCAACGGCAGCAGGAGGAGAUUCUCGCUGGUCGUCACAAAACUAAAGCGAUCGGUGCAUUUUAUUCAACAAAAAGUUCGCAGCCAUGCGCGUUCUUACCUGGCCGACAGCUGAAGGAGCAUAAGUGAGGCAAUAGGAUGUGGGAAACCUCGACACCAAAGAGCAAUUGAUGGGGUCAAGAUAGUUCCCUCCUUAUAUAAGAGGGUUCUACCAGCUGAUUGGCAUGCAGGGCUGAUUAGCCCAAAGUGACAACAGAUGGACAAUCUGACCCUACUGCCACAAUAUAAAAACGUAAUAAUUAUGUAAAAACAUGAACUUAGAAAAACGUGAAAUUAUGUGAAAAUAUGCAUAUGUGUAAAUUAUGUAAAAACCUGGAAAAUCUAAAGAUGAAAAUUAUGUUAGGGAUAUGAUGUAAAAACGUGUUAUGUAAAAAUGUGAAUACACAUAAAAAUGUGCUAUCGUGUAAAAAUGUGAAAAAUAUGUAAAAACGUGAAAAGUAUCAUCUAAAAGGGAAAACAUUUAAAAAUGUGCUAUCGUGUAAAAACGGGAAAAAUGUAAAGAAAUUAAUUAUGUAAGUGAUAUGUAAACACGUGUUAUGUUAAAAAAUAUGUAAAAAUGUGCUAGUGUAAAAAUGUGAAAAAUAUGUAAAAAUGUGUUAUCGUGUAAAAACGUAAUUAUCAUGUAAAAACAUUAACUUAGAAAAACGUGAAAUGUGAAAAUAUGUAAAUAUGUGUAAAUUAUGUAAAAACCUAAAAAAUCUAAAGAUGAAAAUUAUGUGUCAUAUGAUGUAAAAACGUCUUAUGUAAAAUUGUGAAAACAUGUAAAAAUGUGCUAUCGUGUAAAAAUGUGAAAAGUAUCUACAAGUGUGAAAACAUGUAAAAAUGUGCUAUCGUGUAAAAACGUGAAAAAUGUAAAGAUGAAAAUUGUGAUAUAAUGUAACAAAUGUGUUAAAAAAUAUGUACAAAUGUGCUACAGUGUAAAAAAUGUGAAAAAUAUGUAACUAGUGAUGCACGAUAAUGCAUUUUUCAGCCGAUACCGAUAACCGAUAAUUUCCUCCUCGUUUCAACCGAUAAUGUCA